CUUAAACCGCUAAUUUGUCCCCAGAUUUCUUGAAUAUAAUCUGGGAAUUUUUGGGGAUUUUCCACUUUUACAGAAAUGCAUUGGAUGGGUUUUGCAAUAAUCGUAAUAGAUGAUUGCUGUUGAACUGGAAUGAGUGCAUGGAUACAAGUGAAGUUAAUAUCAUUUGGCAUGCUCAGAAAUUGGCUUUACUGAUGUUGCUAUGAACUAUGAUGGAUGAUAACAUAUGCCACAUCAGACCCGGUACUCACAUCAUACAAUAUCUUAUCCACAGCUGAUCCCAGUAUGUUGGGGAGUUCUUACAUUGUUGAAGCUGGAACAAACUUACCUUAGCUAGAGCUCUAAUUUUUCAGUGUCUUUAAUAACAUAGUCAUUGGUAAUAAAGAGGUCUUGAGAAAGAAUGAAAUGUUGCAAUCCCUUUGUUCAUUGUUCUUUAGUCCAACUGUGUUUGGGAUUUGGAAACUUUUGGCAGUCCAAAAUUUCCUAAAAUAUUUUGCAUUAAGAUUGUUGUGAAGUUUACUUUGUUGA